rnacentral:rRNA from 1 species
GUCUACGGCAUGCCACCCUGAAUGUGCCCAAUCUUUUCUGAUUUCGGAAACUAAGAAGGGUCGGGCCUGGUUAGUAUUUGAAUGAAAGACCACCUCGGAAUACCAGAUGCUGUAGGCA